rnacentral:sRNA from 1 species
GGAUACGCCCGGCGCCGCAACCUCCUCCCUGCGGUCCGGGCACUGGAUGCGGGCCCUGACCUCCUCCCGAGGGGUCCCAUCGAAACGAAGGCGAUGCGCACCUCCUCCCGCGCAUCGCCUUUUUC